rnacentral:rRNA from 1 species
UACGAGAGGUCCAAACGUUAUUCAGAAUCACUGGGCUUACAGAGUUCGUAGGCGGUACGGAAAGUGGGGUGUGAAAGCCCUCGGCUCAACCGAGGAACUGCGCUCCAAACUACCGUGCUAGAGGAAGAUAGAGGUGAGCAGAACUGAUGGUGGAGCGGUGAAAUGCGUUGAUAUCAUCAGGAAUACCGGAGGCGAAGGCGGCUCACUGGGUCUUUUCUGACGCUGAGGAACGAAAGCUAGGGAGCAACG